CCUACGGGGGGCUGCAGCUAAGAAUAUUCCGCAAUGGACGAAAGUCUGACGGAGCGACGCCGCGUGGACGACGAAGGCCGAAAGGUUGUAAAGUCCUUUUGCCGAUGAAGAAUAAGUGGGGGAGGGAAUGCCCUCACGAUGACGUUAGUCGGUGAAUAAGCCCCGGCUAAUUACGUGCCAGCAGCCGCGGUAACACGUAAGGGGCGAGCGUUGUUCGGAAUUAUUGGGCGUAAAGGGCGCGUAGGCGGUACUGCAAGCCCGGCGUGAAAACCAGGGGCUU
rnacentral:rRNA from 1 species